rnacentral:misc_RNA from 1 species
GAUGAAGAACGUAGCGAAACGCGAUAAGUAAUGUGAAUUGCAGAAUUUAGUGAACCAUCGAAUCUUUGAACGCACAUUGCGCCCGGCAGUAAUCUGCCGGGCAUGCCUGUCCGAGCGUCAUUUCUGCCCUCGAGCGAGUCCAGCAUCUAGGUGCUGGGCCCGCCCGGCGUUGGGGCACUACGGGAAGCCCUGUGCUGUCCCCCGUAGGCCCCGAAAUGAAGUGGCGGUCCUGCCGCGGCGCCCCCUGCGUAGUAUAACAGCUCGCUUCGGGACCCGGUGGAGGCCUGCCGUCAAACCUUACUCUCUAAGUUUGACCUCGGAUCAGGUAGGGUUACCCGCUGAACUUAAGCAUAUCAAUAAGCGGAGGA